ensembl:lncRNA
AGAAUAGGACCUGCCCUGAACGAGGUUCUCCUCUACCCCCAGUCCCCUCAGAAAGACUAGGACCUGCCCUGAACGAGGUUCUCCUCUACCCUCAGUCCCCUCAGAAAGACUAGGACCUGCCCUGAACGAGGUUCUCCUCUACCCUCAGUCCCCUCAGAAAGACUAGGACCUGCCCUGAACGAGGUUCUCCUCUACUCUCAGCCCCCUCAUACAGAAUAGGACCUGCCCUGAACGAGGUUCUCCUCUACCCUCAGUCCCCUCAGACAGAACAGGACCUGCCCUGAAUGAGGUUCUCUACCCUCUGUCCCCUCAGAAAGACUAGGACCUGCCCUGAAUGAGGUUCUCUACCCCCAGUCCCCUCAGAAAGAAUAGGACCUGGUUUGUGAUCUAAAAAAAAUCAGACAAUAUCAGGAACUGCAUCUCAGCUGUACUUACUGUCUGUUGGUGGGGGGCGCUUAACAGAAGGUCCACUAUAGGGCCCUGGGCAACAUGUGCACUAUAUAGGGAAUGAGGGGGGGGUGUGACUGAGUGAAGUCAUCCACUCUGCCCUCAGUCCCCUCAGGGGGGGGUGUGACUGAGUGAAGUCAUCCACUCUGCCCUCAGUCCCCUCAGGGGGGGGGGGUGUGACUGAGUGAAGUCAUCCACUCUGCCCUCAGUCCCCUCAGGGGGUGACUGAGUGAAGUCAUCCACUCUGCCCUCAGUCCCCUCAGGGGGGGUGUGACUGAGUGAAGUCAUCCACUCUGCCCUCAACAGGAGAACUCUGGACCAGACUGACUAGGGAGGUGUUUACCCCGGUGGUCGUUACGACACCGUCACUUCCAGAAGGAAUUAACAGUGGAUCAAAAUGUAAAUAUUACGUUUUAUUGUAAAGAAGGAAUAAUAUGUUGGGAUGUAAAUAAAUUAGUUUGAUGGUUAGUUGUUGUUUGUUGUUUUGACAUAUGUAAUAUUAAAGGUGAGUCUGUGUCGUCAUUAAAGGUGUGAGCAGCAUGAUCCAUAGGACUGACUAUAACCAACAGCAUUUUAUACCCAACUGUUACUCACAAUUCAGCUUGACCACUGAGGAAAUGUGUUUGGUAAUGCUAACCUGCCUGUUAAAUAUAUACUGAACAAACAUGUCAAUGAUUUAAACUCCGU